rnacentral:lncRNA from 1 species
GCUUAGUACGGAAUCCAGCGAGGGCACGAAACCAGCCGUGGUUACAAAGAGCACCCCUGGAGCGCCAUCAGGAAGCACGCCUGGAACGGGAA